CCUAAACCCGCUUACUCUCACUUCGUAUGUUAAUUAGUUUAUCAAUCCUUUGCCUGGAAUGUGGUGGUCUUGCAGGUUUGUAGGUGAUUCAUGUCCUUGUGACCAUCUGAUCUUCUCCAGCAAGAAGACUUAGCACUCCCUCCCUCUAGAUAGCAUUGGAAUGUCUCUCAUCCUUUUCUCAUUCUUUUUUAAAUAGCCCCUUUGUUAGAGGAAGAGGGGCAGGUGUCUCCUCAAAACUGUAGUUGUCUCCUCAGAGCUGUGUGCCUAUGUGACCAGACACCGCACCCAUGACCAGUCACCAUACCCACAUUCCUUGAGCAGACACAUACAAUCACAAUCGAUGUCCAUUGUCCCCAUUUCACACUAUUUCUCCGUAUCAGUGGCAAAACAGGAAUGUGUGGAUAAAUAACAUCACUAAUCGGCAAAUGAAACAAAAGAUUACUGUAAGGAAGAAUGACUGUUUGAAAAUGGAGAAUGAAAACACGAUAGAAGAAAAAGACAAAAAGAGUUUUUCAUCUGGGGGAAGCUCAAAAUUGAUUAAAAUGCCAAUGAAAUGUAAAAUUGCCCUGAAUGCCAAAGGUGCAAAGAAAAGUAAAAGACAGCCUUCAAAGCAGAAGGCUCAUCAGCAGAUGAGCUCUUCCAGUGGCAAUCAUGGUCAAGUACCGGAUGAUAGCACUUCCAGUGAAAUAUCUGAGGAUGAAGGAAGGUCAGCAGACAAAUGGAAGUAACUGAUGGCCCUGGUUUAACUCACUCAUCUGACCCAACUUCAGAGGAUGUCCGGUUACAAGCUUCAACCUGCA